rnacentral:snRNA from 1 species
GUCCCUUCCCUGGGAUAUCUAUUAAAUAUGAACAACAUAGAGAACAUUGGCAUGACCACUGUGAAAAGAUGACAUACAAAAUGCAAAACAUUCCUUAUGUUUUU